UCGGGGAUAUUGCACAAUCGCCGAAAGCCGGAUGCCGUGACGCCGCGUGGGCGAUGAAGGCCUUCGGGUUGUAAAGCCCUUUUAUGGGGGAAGAGACAAGGACGGUACCCCAAGAAUAAGCGUCGGCUAACUACGUGCCAUCAGCCAGCGAGUACAACGUAUGACUGCAAUGCGUUAUCCGGAUUUACUGGGCGUAGAGGAGCGUUGAGGCGCGUCCGUAAGUUGGGCGUGAAAUGCCCGGGCUUAACCCGGGGAGUGUCUGUUCAAUACUGCGGGACUUGAGGGCAGCCUACGUAGGCUGAAUUCCCGGUGUAGCGUUGAAAUGCGUAGAUAUCGGGAGGGAAUACAGUGGCAAAGGCUGGCUCCUGGGCUGUUUCUGAUGCUGAAGGCGGAAAGCUAGGGGAUCGAACGGGAUUAGAAACCCCGGUAGUCCUAGCCGUCAACGAUGGAUACUGGUUGUGGGGGGUAUAGAUCCCCUCCGUGCACGAAGACUAACGCGUUAAGCAUCCCGCCUGGGGAUUACGGCCGCAAGGCUUAUACUCAAACGAAUUGACGCGGGGCCACGCACAAGCAGCGGAGCGUGUGGUUUAAUAUCGAUGCUACACGACGAACCUUACCUGGGCACUGACAUGUAGGUAAGUAGUGAAGCGAAAGCGGUACGACCCUUCCGGGGAGCCUACACAGGUGCUUGCAUGGCUGUCGUCAGUUCGUGCACGUGAGGUGUCGGGUUAAGUCCCGUGACGAACGCAACCCUUGCCCUUAGUUACAUGUGUCUAAGGGGACUGCCCGGGACAACUGGGAGGAAGCUGGGGAUGACGUCAAGUCAGCAUGGCCUUUAUGUCCAGGGCUACACACACGCUACAAUGGCCGGUACAAUGGGUCGCCAACCCGUGAGGCGGAGCCAAUCCUCCAAAGCCGGUCUAAGUUCGGAUUGUGGGCUGCAACUCGCCCAUAUGAAGCUGGAGUUG
rnacentral:rRNA from 1 species